GGGGGCGAUUUGGAUUCGACGCCGGUGGCAAAACUCAAGGUGCAUGUCGUGAUGGUAGCGAAUCACGUAAAUCCAAAGCUGCAUUUUAUUAGUUGCCAAUGACGACAACUACGGUGCCCAAUUAGCCGCGUAAGCGGUUGAUGAAGCACUUCUAACGGUACGCCGUUAGCGGUCCGUAACAAGGUGCCAGUACCGCGUUGCAGACUGUCAUACAGAACUGGAUAGCUGUGUUGUUAUGACUGUGGCAACAUUGCGAAACUUUUAGCAGACUCGUUCCCUGCACCCUGCCCGUUGGGUCGCAGAUGAAUUAAACCAAUUAACGGAAACUAAGCAUGUAGAUCCGCGAGCGGAGUGCCGGCGGACGGGGGUUCAACUCCCCCCGCCUCCACCA
rnacentral:tmRNA from 2 species